rnacentral:tRNA from 2 species
GCGCCCGUAGCUCAGCGGAUUAGAGCGCUGCCCUGCGGAGGCAGAGGUCGCAGGUUCAAGUCCUGCCGGGCGCGCCA